rnacentral:rRNA from 1 species
CCUACGGGAGGCAGCAGUGGGGAAUAUUGCACAAUGGGGGAAACCCUGAUGCAGCGACGCCGCGUGAGUGAAGGAGUAUCUCGGUACGUAAAGCUCUAUCAGCAGGGAAGAAACUGACGGUACCUUACUAAGAAGCCCCGGCUAACUAAGUGCCAGCAGCCGCGGUAAUACGUAGGGGGCAAGCGUUAUCCGGAUUUACUGGGUGUAAAGGGAGCGUAGACGGCAUCAUAAGUCUGGAGUGAAAUCCCGGGGCUUAACCCCGGAACUGCGUUGGAACCUGUGCGGCUGGAGUGCAGGAGGGGUAAGCGGAAUUCCUAGUGUAGCGGGGAAAUGCGUAGAGAUUAGGAGGAACACCGGUGGCGAAGGCGGCUUACUGGACUGUAACUGACGUUGAGGCUCGAAAGCGUGGGGAGCAAACAGGAUUAGAUACCCCUGUAGUC